UACGAAGGGGGCUAGCGUUGUUCGGAAUUACUGGGCGUAAAGCGUAUGCAGGCGGAGCGUUAAGUCGGGGGUGAAAUCCCGAGGCUCAACCUCGGAACUGCCUUCGAUACUGGCGAUCUUGAGUCCGGGAGAGGUGAGUGGAACUCCGAGUGUAGAGGUGAAAUUCGUAGAUAUUCGGAAGAACACCAGUGGCGAAGGCGGCUCACUGGCCCGGUACUGACGCUGAGGUGCGAAAGCGUGGGGAGCAAACAGG
rnacentral:rRNA from 1 species